UACGUAGGGUGCAAGCGUUAAUCGGAAUUACUGGGCGUAAAGCGUGCGCAGGCGGUUUUGUAAGUCUGUCGUGAAAUCCCCGGGCUCAACCUGGGAAUGGCGAUGGAGACUGCAAGGCUAGAAUCUGGCAGAGGGGGGUAGAAUUCCACGUGUAGCAGUGAAAUGCGUAGAUAUGUGGAGAACACCGAUGGCGAAGGGCA
rnacentral:rRNA from 1 species